UACGAAGGGUGCUAGCGUUGUUCGGAAUCACUGGGCGUAAAGCGUGCGUAGGCGGCUUUCCAAGUCAGGGGUGAAAUCCUUGGGCUCAACUCAAGAACUGCCUUUGAAACUGGUAAGCUGGAGUGUCGGAGGGGAUAGCGGAAUUCCUAAUGUAGUGGUGAAAUACGUAGAUAUUAGGAGGAACACCGGUGGCGAAGGCGGCUAUCUGGACGACAACCGACGCUGAGGCACGAAAGCGUGGGGAUCAAACAGG
rnacentral:rRNA from 1 species